rnacentral:rRNA from 1 species
GUGGGGAAUUUUGCGCAAUGGGGGAAACCCUGACGCAGCGACGCCGCGUGGAGGAUGAAGGCCCUUGGGUCGUAAACUCCUGUCAGGUGGGAAGAAAAGCCUUCGGUAAACAGCCGAGGGUCUUGACUGUACCACCGGAGGAAGCCCCGGCUAACUCCGUGCCAGCAGCCGCGGUAAUACGGAGGGGGCAAGCGUUGUUCGGAAUCAUUGGGCGUAAAGGGCGCGUAGGCGGCCGAACAAGUCGGGUGUGAAAUCCCUCGGCUCAACCGAGGAACUGCACUCGAUACUGUUUGGCUAGAGUCCGGGAGGGGAUGGUGGAAUUCCCAGUGUAGCGGUGAAAUGCGUAGAUAUUGGGAAGAACACCGGUGGCGAAGGCGGCCAUCUGGACCGGCACUGACGCUGAGGCGCGAAAGCCAGGGGAGCGAAUGGGAUUAGAAACCCCGGUAGUCC